UGGAGAUGGCCAUCAGGCCACCACCUUGAGACAAAAUAGAUAAUCCUUCCUUCAGAGAGCUGUCCCUCUCUUCUUACAAGUAAUUGCCCUUCUUUGCCUAGAUACAGUAUUUCUGUAUACUGUGGCUUUCCAUAAGCAUAAAGAAUACUGCCUGAUCACUGCAUCAUUAAGGAUGAUCUGACUCCACUGUGAUUUCUCAUUUUUAUGGCAUUUUACACUCGCACUUCAAUGAAUGUGAUUCCAAAUCUAGAUUUUUGUACAGUUAAGCAGCUGGGCACACUGUCCAUAUUCACUGAUGGAAAGAAAUGUUAGGUUUGAUUAGCUGAGCUGCUGACCAUACAGCACAAUUUAGAACCCUUGCACUAGGUGUCACCUUGGAGUCACAGCUCUCAUCCAUUGUGCAGGCACUUUGAAGCAGUUUGGGCUGUACCAUCAGCCUGCACACUGAUCUACAACAAGUGAAAAUUACUUGAACAGUGUUUGUCAAGGUUGAUUUAGUUACUUUGUUUGGGCUUUUAAUAAUAGUAUUAGAAGUCUUUGUUCCUGAUGGAUUUGACAUUGUGCCAUUGGUUCAUUAGGAUUUGGUUGACUGUUGUGCAUUAUUUAAUUUGCACUCACAGUAUGCUUUGUAAUAACUUGGUCUUCAUUCUCGCAAUAGAUGCUGUGAAUAUCUAUUAAGAACAGUGCUGACUUGUGCAAUGUGUAACAGAAUUCCUUGCAAAAGAAUACUUAGUGCUUUAUGUCCUUUAGCAUGGGAAACUAGGGUUUCCAAAUAACAAUAGAAAUCUUUCUUAGAAAAUUGUUCCUGGGGCAACCAUAAUGGGAAGGGUUUCAAAUUGGAUGGAAAGCAUUGACACAAGCUGCUGUAGAUGCCAGAAGUUUACAUGGUUUCAAAAAGCAAUUAGGCACAAUUAUAGAAGAAGAAGAAACCAUGAAAUGAGACUAAACUCUGAUUGAUGGAAGCUGGGAAAGGGUCUAGGGACAGAUUGUUGCAUGCCCCUUCCCCAGGAGUCUGCUACUACCUGCUGCCUCAAGAACAUACUGUUCUCACCUGAACCCAUAUCCAUAAUUUCUAAUGGUGUUAAAUUAAGAAGUUUCAUUAAGUGCAUUUAGGAAAAGUACCACCUAUCUUCAGGUUAACAACUUGCAAGUUGUUGGGAAUUUUGCACUAAAAUCAUCCUUCGUACCUCAUUAGUAUUCAGAUCCUCUUCUCCCCAUUAGCUUCCUUGGGGAGAACAUACACAUUGGAUUGCACUACAAUCAUGGGCAUUUGAAUGCCAGCCAUGCCCUUAAUUGGAUGGAGUCUUGCCUGGUUGCUGGCAAUAGAGCACUGAUUCUCAGUACAGUUACUAGCCUCAAGUUCAUUUAUACUAGAAGGUGCAUUUUAGACAAUGGGUGUGUGUCUGCUUUCAGGCAGGAUCAUGACUGCUGAAUAGUGGAAGCUGACUACUUGGUUAAACUAAACAGAAAACUCUAGCGGAGCACAAGCAAUACUUUCCUUUGACACGUAAAAAGCAUAGUCAAGUAUACAACAGUGAAAAUUCUACUCAUUUUGUGCACAGGAGGCAAGUCCUGCCACCAGUGAGAUCUUACAACAUGAUCAGCAUCUUGAAAUGUUCUCCAUGUGCCCUCUUUUCAUCCUGACUGUGGAGAAGAUUGUGACCAAGGACUUCAAAGCCAGGAGGAAAACUGAGCCAUGCACGCUGUGGGCUUAGAGCACUGAGCCAGGCAGUACCUGCCGCCCCUCUAGCUCCCUGCCAGCAUUGACAGCACAGCUCUCCAGUGUCUUCACAAGUGCCCUAAAACAAAUAAUUGGAUAUUUCCUGGCGUAGAGCAUCACAGCGGGUGCCACACAACUCCUUUGACAGACCAUAGGCACACUGCAGCUCACUGCAAUAUCCAGCCACUUACCCAGCACAUUACCGCGUCCCUUGUUUUCUCAUUUGUAUAACUGCAAUGGGGCUUCAC